rnacentral:rRNA from 1 species
CUGAACGCUGGCGGUAUGCUUAACACAUGCAAGUCGAACGGUAACAGGUCUUCGGAUGCUGACGAGUGGCGAACGGGUGAGUAAUACAUCGGAACGUGCCCGAUCGUGGGGGAUAACGCAGCGAAAGCUGUGCUAAUACCGCAUACGAUCUACGGAUGAAAGCGGGGGAUCGCAAGACCUCGCGCGGACGGAGCGGCCGAUGGCAGAUUAGGUAGUUGGUGGGAUAAAAGCUUACCAAGCCGACGAUCUGUAGCUGGUCUGAGAGGACGACCAGCCACACUGGGACUGAGACACGGCCCAGACUCCUACGGGAGGCAGCAGUGGGGAAUUUUGGACAAUGGGCGCAAGCCUGAUCCAGCCAUGCCGCGUGCAGGAUGAAGGCCUUCGGGUUGUAAACUGCUUUUGUACGGAACGAAGAAGUUCUCUCUAAUACAGGGGGCGAAUGACGGUACCGUAAGAAUAAGCACCGGCUAACUACGUG